UAGAUUCUGAUGAACCAGCAAAAUCUACUAUUCCUGCUAAGAGGCCUCUGACAACAGAGAAAAAGAGUGAACAUUAUUUGCAGUCCAAGGAUGAUUCUGAUGAUAGUUCUGAUGAGAGUGAUGAAGAGCCUGCACUAAAGAAGCCUAAGGAUUCAUCUUCCAAGAAAGAAAGUUAUGGUGAUGAUGACAGUUCUGAAGAAGCUCCUGCCGUGAUGAUGAAAAUGAUCAAUCGGUGUCAAUGGCAAAGUCCAAGCAGAACGAAGAACGAAGAUCUGAAUCACCAUCACCCCUCUAGAGAAAUCAGUUUACUCAUUCAAGUUCUGGAAAUUCUUUAUACCUUUCUGAGUUUACUUUGUCUUGCAUGUGUUAGCUUUUUGUUUGUGCCCCUUUCUAUGUCUGUUUCUUGUGUGCAAGCACUCCAUUCUCUGUGUGUGACUGUGUGUCUUUUUUGCGUGUGUUGCUUGACUCUGUGUGUGUGUUGCUUGACUGUGUGUGACUUGAGGGCGAAUAUGUGUGUGGCUUGACUGUGUGUGUGUGCUUGACUCUCUGUGUGUGACUGUGUGUGUGUGUGUGACUGUGUGAAUAUUGCAUUUGCUUGAUGGUGUGGUUUGUAUGCUUUGUUGAAUGAUUGGUUGUGUAUAACUUGUGUUUUAUAUUGUUGUUAUCUUUCUGUUUGUGCCCCUUUCUAUGUCUGUUUCUUGUGUGCAAGCGCUCCAUUCUGUGUGUGUGACUGUCUGACUUUUUUGCGUGUGUUUCUUGACUCUGUGUGUGUGUGUGGCUUGACUGUGUGUGACUUGAGGGUGAAUAUGUGUGUGGCUUGACUGUGUGUGUGUGCUUGACUCUUUGUGUGUGACUCUGUGUGUGUGUGUGUGUUUGACUGUGUGAGUAUUGCAUUUGCUUGAUGGUGUGGUUUGUAUGCUUUCUUGAAUGAUUGGUUGUGUAUAACAUGUGUUUUAUAUUGUUGAGGCCUAACACUGCCUUUGCCGGUCCCAAGCUCGGGUGUGAAAAUGUGGAGGGAGCUGCAGUUACCUUCUUUGUAUUGUUUGCAUUACGAGUGUCGAUAGAAAUUACACAGUUUAGGUUACUGUCCUAAUCGAAUAGUGAAUCUUCACAUAAUUUGGUAGCAAGUGACUCAAGCUUUAAAAUGCAUCCUUCCUUGCUAGUUGUACGAGGUCAGUGUUUUUCUUAUACGAUACCAAAGGAAAGCGAGUAGCUAAGAAUUUAGGCCUAUAAGGGUUUGAUAUAUUUUUUUUACUUCUGUGCAUGAUUUUUUAGGUGGAAAGGUCUGCACGUACAAGACGUUUUGGAUGUUUUGGAGUCCACCGCUUUGACUGUCUCCUGAUGCUCUGGCUGUUUCCAUCUUAGGUGACAUGUGCUUUUUGUUUUUGAUUGUGUCUCCUUGUUUGCCGCAUAUCAGUUUUGUAUGUCGGAUUGUUUGGGCUGAUUUUUCUGGGCUCUUCUCAUGGUAUGAGUGGUCCUUUCUUUUUUCUUCUGCUGCCUAUAAAUAAGCUAUUCUGGAGGCCUUAUUUCUCGAUUUCUAGAUUCUUUGCUUUGGGUUCGUGAUAAGGGUUCUUGCAGUUUGGUGUGCUGAUCGGCUGCCUUCUUCGGUUCGUGCUUCUGGUCGAUCUGUUCCAAGUCGCUCCGAAUAUAUUCCUGGUGCUACUUCUGGCGGUGGAUCUUCUAGUCGAUCUGUUCUAAGUGCCGCUCAAUAUCCUGUUUUGGAUCCUAAUGAAGCGCACCGGUGUCGGCAUGAGAUUCGAUGUGGGAAGCAUCCUAUUUAUUUAUACAACCACGGUCCAUUGGCUGGAGUCGAGGAAAUUCUCAAGCAUAAAACGACAUCUUCUUACUCAACAUAAUUUUAAAGAAACAGGAUGAAGUCGAAGCGGCACGGAUGGCAGCAAUCAACAAGGAAAUUAAACGUGUGUUGACAGAAGUUCUUCUGAAGGUUUCUGAUGAUCUUUUUAAUGAGAUCACGGCCAAAGUUAUGAAUGAAGAUGAUUCAUCAGCUGGACCAAAUGAGAUCACUGGUGUCUCUAGCUCAAAGGAGCUUGGUCUGGGAGAAUCAGAAGUCAAGACCACAACUGUAUUGGUCGUUUUGAUGAUACUGGGCUAAGUUCUCCUAAAGGUGCUUUCUUGGUCAUGCUAAUUAUGAUUCAGAUGAUGAUGAUGGUAAGGGUUUAAUUCCAAAUUUAUCAUCUGAAAUUAAAGUUGGUGCAGCUCAUCCUAAAGAAAGUAAGUUCUUGAAAAACACAAAGUGGACAUGGUUUCCCAAAAUUUAUUUUCUAAAGAAGGAAGAGCUAAUUAUUAACUUUCUGAGUUUACUUCGGUCUUGCAUGUACUAGCUUUCUGUUUUUGCCCCUAUCUAUGUCUGUUUCUUUCCAUUUCUUGUGUGCAUGUGCUCCAUUGUGUUUGUGUGUGUCUGACUGUGUGUGAUGUGCCCCUAACUCUGUUUCUGUCUGUUUCUUGUGUUCAAGUGCUACAUUGUGUGUGUGAUGUGCCCCUAUCUAUGCAUGUUUCUUGUGUGCAAGCGCUUGAUUGAGUGUGUGCUUGUGUGACUGUGUGUAUUGCAUUUGCUUGAUGGUGUGGCUUGUAUGCUUUGCUGAGUGAUUGGUGUGUUUUGUGUUGUUGUGGUUUAACACUGCCUUUGCCGGUCCCAAGCCCGGAUGCGAAAAUGUGGACGGAGCUGCAGUAUUGUUUGCCUUAGAACUGUUGAUUGAAAUUACUCUCCUAAUCGAAUAGUGAAUCUUCACAUAAUGUCGUAGUAUGUGGUUCAAGCUCUGGAAUGCAUCCUUCCUUGCUAUGAAAAAUCUAGCAAGUGUACUUGUCUAGAAUUUGUCCCGUCUCCUAAAUUAAUCUUGCUGGGUUCUUAAAUCUUGUCAGCACCAAUGUUCUUUUCUGCUAAUAUAUAUACUUUUUUUUAAAAUCAGUCAUCUGUUUUUAAUUUGGCUUUGAUUUGUGGUUGUCUGAUCAUGCACGAAUCUCAGCGUCGCAGGUGUCCCUCAUUUGUCUGUAACUCACAAGUGCAUGUCUUGUUUAUUUGUUGUUGGGCUUUUUGUUCGGGUUGUGGGUUGCCCUCUCUGUUGUUGGCCUUUUUAUUCGGGUUGUGGGUCCUUUUCGGGGGGUGACCUGCUGAGAGUGUGUGUGUGUGAGGGGGGGAGGGGACGGCGGCAGUGUUGGUGGCCGGAGCGUUUCAGCCGGGAAGGAGUUGACUUCGGCACACGGACAGGCACUGUGUAGGCUCGUGAGUCCCCUUUCCCCUCUUUGAUUCAAUUCAUUUUAUCGAAAAAGGCUUUUGUCCCGCUUUAUAUAUAAGGCAAUGAUCGACAUAGCAGAUGCAAACCACCUGACAUCACACAGACCAGAGGCAGAUACAAGGGAGCUGAUGAACAUCAACACUACUCCAAACACCCAAAAGCAAACAACAAGUAGGCGGAAGAGCAUAGCUAAGGAUCUAAAGAGCACUCCACCGUGAACAGUAACCGCGAGGAGAUGAAGCCGCAACUCGACGGAACCAAGGACUCCAAAGUGGUUCUUCCAACAAAGAAACGACACUGAAGAGCCACCACCACCCGAUCCAGAGAAUCGAGGUUUUCGCCCGAAGUAACACGAAGAACGUAGAGCCACCACGAUGGAGCCUUCAAAGAAGGGAACGAUGCAUGGACGCCGCCGCCAUCGGUCUGGCCCGAGCCAAACGAGGUUUUCACCCCGGCCACCACCUCCACCUCCGCCCAGGGUACUACCCUACAUGAGAGCGUCGGCUGCAUGACCAUCAAGAACAUCGAAGGCCCGCCCCAUGCCGCCCAUGCGGCCACGACAAUAAGCCCGUCAGUGCCCGAGCCACGAGCUCUGCCCACGAGCUCGCAGCUCCCGCCACCAAGGCCGUCGCCCUGCAACCAGACACUCCAGAGACCAUCAAAGGCACGAGCUUUGAGCCGACCGGCAGAUCCCUAGCACCGUCGGAGCCGCCGGUGACCUACUCGCCCCGAGUAAUGAUCAGCGGCCUACAGGCACUAGGCCAGGAAAAGGGAGGGAGUGGAGCUUGUCCGGACCGACGCACCCCUGUGUCGGUGAGACGGUGAUAGGUAGUCGGUCUACCCAUCCCUCUAGCAGCCACCCCUGUGUCACCCCUGACGCCCUACCACGGCGUCCGGUAAGUACCACGUGAGGAAGAGGCGUCACCCAUCCGCCGGCGAGGGCCGACCGCACCCUGCCGCCGAAGAAGGCCUCGAGAGGAGCGCCAACCACCACCACACAACAUGCGCCUCCACGCUCCCCACCGGAGUAGAGCAAACACCUACUGCAGCACCACCACCUUAGAAGGGCCGCCAGCCACCCUUGCCGCCACCAACCGCCACUACCAGCCGAAUCUGGGCAGGUAUCUUGGAGUAGCACAACUUGUGUUUCCUUUAGGUCAAAUGAUAUAGCUACUUCGAUUCUAGGAUAGAGAUAACUUUGGCACUCGGAUUUGUGAUGUUUUUAUCUAAGCUUAGUAGCCUGCAUGUGCCCCAUAUGGAUAUAAUCAUGAAUACGAUACAUGUGGUCAGAGUUGUUAGACAUAGGUGAUUUUCGUGUCCCUCCCCAAGAAUGUUAUGAGUACAAAAUCAUCAUGGGAGGAUGGUUUGGAUUAAUUCGAAGAGAUGGCAAUUUUGAUGGUAUAUGAUAACCUUGUGGGAGUUGGUCUAUGUGAGCCUUAUAACAAUUGGUAUCAGAGAAAGUUUAUGUGUUUUAUGGCAACCUUAAGUCUCACCAAGUCAUGACUUGGUCAAGCCGUGAUAACAGAGCUGGAUAUGUAGUAAGGAUAUGGCCCUUGGACUAACCCUUAUACUCCACCUACUUGAUGAACAUCAUGACCAUGUUUAUGAGUUCUUGGACUAGUUUGUGGUUAUCAUCAUUGAUGACCUCUUGGUCUAUUCUCCCUCUGAGGAAGAUCAUAAGAAACACUUGAGAAUGAUUUUGGAUAACUUAAAGAGCCCCAGUUAUAUGCCAAGUUUAAGAAUUAUGAAAUUUGGCUAAAAGAAGUAGGGUUCCAAGGACUUGUUUUUUCCAUGGAAGGUUUGUCAAUAGACCCAUCAAGGAUAGAAUCUGUAACCAACUUUUAGGCAAAACAAAUGUGAAGUCGGAAGUUCCAUCGAACUUAAUAGUUAUUAUCGCAAAUUUGUGAAGACUUUCAAGCAUCGCCGAUGACUUAACUCUUGAAGAAAGAUAAGAAGUUUGAAUGAAGGCCCAAGUGUGAAGUGAGCUUUCAAGAGUUUAAGAAGAGGUUAACCACUGAUCCGUCCUUAGCCACCCUAGAUAUUUAUACAAGUUUUGAAGUUAUUGUGAUGCAUCUAAGCAUGGACUCCAUUCCGUCUUGAUGCAAGAAGGAAUCUUCGUAGCCUAUCUAUCAAGGCAACUACGGCCUCAUGAAGAGAACUGCCCUACCAUGAUUUGGAAAUAGCAGCAGUAGUGCAUGCUAUACGUAUGUCUUCUAGAUGAUCAACCACUAUGACGUUGAUAUCCAUUACCAUCCUAAUGAGGCCAAUUGGCAGUGGAUACCCUCAGCAGGAAGUCAUGUCCCUGUUCUGCCUUGACCAAGCAGAGCAACUAGUGCUACAUGACGGCUUCGAGAAGUUUGGUGUAAACUUGAUCAACCACUAUGACGUUGAUAUCCAUUACCACCCUGAUAAGGCCAAUGUCGCAGUGGAUACCCUUAGCAGGAAGUCGUGUCCCUAUUCUGCCUUGACCAAGUGGAGCAAUUAGUGCUACAUGAAGGCUUUGAGAAGUUUGGUGUAGAGCUAGUCAAUAGUGUCUAUCUUGCUAACUUCAAGAUUAGACCCACUCUUAGGAUGAAUCAAGAAGUAUAGAAGAAAUCAAUGAAAUGAUCAAGCAUGGGAAAGCCAUGCAUUAUCAGAAGACAAGCAAUGUGUUAUUUGGUUUGGAGGUCGCAUCUGCAUACCUAACCAAGAAGGUUUGUAGAAGUGGAGUCUACAAGCAGCACGCCUUCAUCGAUGAACCAGAGACCCUGGCGCAUGGCAGAGCCGUAUCGUGUGGCGCUCUUGCUGUCUCGAAAGAUGUCUGAAGCUAAGUGUGAAGCAUGUCUGCAUGAGUUUUUUCUAGAAUAAGAAGGAAGGAGUAGGUUUCACAUAUUUGCGGGAUAUGCGACAGCCCGUCGGGCAACGCGGUCACACUCGCGUGAACCCGCAUGCACAAAGUUGUUGGCUGUGGGAGAAUUAGCGAGUUUUUUGCAGGGUGGACUAGCGACUUAGCUGGUAUUCCUGUCCCACUUGCGCCCUUACCAAUGUCAAAUUAAGGCCAUGACUCUAUCAGGGUCAUAAUUGACCAUUGCCUAAGCUUGCCAUCCUCAACCCAUUACUUAACACCAAAGACAUUUGCAAGCAAACUAGCAAAUAACUACCUCUUCCAAAUUUUAAGUCCCCACAAAGUUCCCAAGAAGGUUGUUGCAUAUAAAGGUACAAAGUUGACCUCCAAACCUGGAAGAGAUUCCAAGAAGCUUUCAAAAUCAAGUCAUCCAUCAAACGGGGCCUCUGCAAAGAAAACCACACAUCGACCCCCACCCCUAACCAACUUACUACGAGAUCUCAAUUGUUGCCCUUGCUAAAGCUAUAUGUCAGAAGUUAUGCCAUCGAGUGCCUCGGUUGAGUGAAGCAAUCUCAUUGAAGAGCAAGCAACUUGGAGUGAAGACUAUCGUUGAGCGAUCUUUCUAAGAAACCUCACCCUAUGUUUUGUAUCACAUCACUUACGAUAAUGUAGAUCAAAAUUUUGGACCCAACUUCUAAAAUAUCGAUCACGGGGGAGUAUAUACUAUCCGGUGGACUCUAUACUAGCAUCAUUCUUAAGGAAAGUUCUGUCCAAUUGUUCAAAGUGUAUACGCCUAACACCAAAAUACAUUCAAGAUGCAAAGGCCGACAUAUUUAACUUUACCAGGUGAAACUUAGUUAGAGUUUCUCCUCACUCAAGCUUAAGCCUUUCUCUAAACCAAACCUAACCCAAGAAAACCCAGCCUAGCUAUCAAGGUUGUGAUAUGACAGACUUAUAUCAAUGUGCUUAACUUACGAAAUUGCAAGAGCGCCGCUUAAGCACCAACAACUAUUGCUUGAGAUAAAUCCCAACAUGAGAUAGUGAUUGUAUGAGUCAAUCAUGUUGCAUCCUUAAGCCCUCAACACACACCUAGUUGGGUGGUGUCAUACUUAAGUUAUUUUGAGGAGUUAUGAUUGGAAAAUGAGAUAGUUUGUUGGUAAUGUAGAUGUGAUCUUGAGAAGAUAGUCAAAGAUGAUCGGUGGAUUAUGAGAUUUUAGGUAUAGUAGGAGAGCAUGAUGAUUAUUAUAUUUGUGAAUAACAAUAUCUUUAAUUAAUCUUGAAACAAGUUGGAUUUAGUUACGUGAUUGUGAAUUUGUGAUUUUGAACCAAAUUUCAAGGUGGAUUUCGACAUUUUAGUUGGAUUUAGUUAGGUGAUUGUGAUCUCGAGAAGAUAGUCAAACUUGUCCGGUGGAUUAUGAGAUAUUAUGUCUAAUAGGUGAGCAUGAUGAUUAUUACAUCGAUGGAUAAAAAGAUCUUGAAUUAAUCUUUGAACAAUUUGGAUUUAGUUUGUGUGAUUGACCUUGGACCAAAUUUCAUGGAGAAUUAUGAGAUUUUAGGUGGAUUUAAUUUGGUGAUUGUGAUCUUCAGAAGAUAGUCAAAGAUAUUUAGUGGAUUAUAAGAUUUUAGGUCUAGUAGGCGAGGAUGAUGAUUAUUAUAUUAGUGGAUAAAUAGAUCUUCAAUUAAUCUUGGACAAUUUGGAUUUAGUUAGGUGAUUGUAAUUUUGACCCAAAUUUCAUGGUAGAUUAUGAGAUUUCAAGUAGAUUUUAGUUCAUAUGACUUUUGAGGAGGUAGUCAAUGAUGUUCGGUGGAUUAUGAGAUUUUAAGUUUAGUAGGUGAGCAUGAUGAUUAUUGCACUGGUGCAUAAAUAGAUCCUUAAUUAAUCUUCGAACAAUUUGGGCUAAGCUUUGAAGCGGCAGGAAGCACAAUCGCACAAUAGGCGCUUAACACUUGAGGAUCUCGAAGAUUCAUGGGAUAGAGACAUAACACUAUUCCAAAAAGACCGCCACGCUUUGGCCUAUGACUUUAAGUAGUAUGAAAUGCUGAAACAGAACCCAUUUUGGUGUGACAUGAUGGAAAGCUAUGGAGUCUGAACAACUACAGAACUGACGUCUGGUUUACAUAAGGAGGGAGAAUGCCGGCAGCUGGAAUUCUGGGCUGGAAAAGGAGCAAAUAUUAGAGACCUAUUCUGCGCAACUCCAAAAGUC